rnacentral:lncRNA from 1 species
GCAGAACCUGGUGAAGCCAUGCUGGUUGUCCUGUAUCACCUCCCUGUUUUCGAUGUGCCUCAGCAUAGCCUCCUGGAGGAUCUACUCCAUGAUCUUCCCUAGCACAAAGGUGAAGCUGACAGUUCAGAGUGAAGUCAUGUGAGGCUGUGUCAGAGCCGACCAGAAUCGUGUUCCUAUAGCAUGAAACCAAACAUUCAUAUUACUCGCAUUCUGCUUGAGGGAGGAAGGCCUGCAGGGAUUCAAGAAGACUGGAUAGGAAGAACAGAGACA